AUAAAAAUUCCAAAUCAUCAAAUUNAAUGAAUUAAGUCAGUUUUGUCACGUCCCUUCCUAUUUACAGGGUUUGGCAGUGGAGAAUCCACGAGUUCUGUUUCAUCCUGACUGGAAAUUUGGAUUUUUCCCCCCAAAAAAGCUUCCAAACUUCAUCCAAGAUCCAAACAUCCUCCAAGGUGCCACCAUCACGCACGAUCCAACCUCGAUCCAAGAUCCAGCCACCAUCCAACAUGAAAACCUCAUCCAAGAUCCGAAGGUUAUCCAAGGUCCAACCAUCCAAGAUCCAACCGUGCUCCAAAAUCCAAUCACCAUCCACGAUCCAAAUCUCAUCCAAGAUCCAAACGUGAUCCAAGAUAUAAACACUGUCCAAGAUGCAAACCUCAUCCGAGAUCCAACCCUCAUCCAAGAUCCAAGCGUGAUCCAAGAUCCAAAUAUGAUCCAAGGCCCUCAUCUAAGAUCCAACCAUCCAAGAUCCAUCCAUCAUCCAACAUCCAAAUGUGAUCCAAGGUCCAGCCAUGAUCGAAGGUCCAAUCACUAUCCACGAUCCAAACCUCAUCCAAGAUCCAACCAUCAUCCAAGAUCCAAUCUCAUCCAAAAUCCAAUCUCAUCAAGAUCCAAACAUCAUCCAAAAUCCAAACCUCACCCAAGAUCCAAACAUCAUCCAAGAUCCAACCAUCAUCCAAGGUCCAACUGUGAUCCAGGAUCCAACCAUCAUCCAAGAUCCACCCACCACCCAAGUCCAGGAACCGCUUCACUCCUCUCAGGCGCUCACCCCCAGCAGCUCCAUUUUCCAAACCUCAUCCCAAACCCUUCCCAC
rnacentral:lncRNA from 1 species